rnacentral:rRNA from 1 species
ACGCUCGACACCUACGGGAGACAGCAGUGGGGAAUAUUGCACAAUGGGGGAAACCCUGAUGCAGCGACGCCGCGUGGAGGAAGAAGGUCUUCGGAUUGUAAACUCCUGUUGUUGGGGAAAAAGAGGAUGGUACCCAACAAGGAAGUGACGGCUAACUACGUGCCAGCAGCCCCGGUAAUCUGAGCGGGCUGGCAAGGC